rnacentral:rRNA from 1 species
ACGGGAGGCAGCAGUGGGGAAUAUUGGGCAAUGGGCGAAAGCCUGACCCAGCAACGCCGCGUGAAGGAUGAAGGUCUUCGGAUUGUAAACUUCUUUGAUCAGGGACGAAACAAAUGACGGUACCUGAAGAACAAGCCACGGCUAACUACGUGCCAGCAGCCGCGGUAAUACGUAGGUGGCGAGCGUUAUCCGGAUUUACUGGGUGUAAAGGGCGUGUAGGCGGUUCUGCAAGUCAGAAGUGAAAUUCCCGGGCUUAACUCGGGCGCUGCUUCUGAAACUGUAGAACUUGAGUACUGGAGAGGAUAGUGGAAUUCCUAGUGUAGCGGUAAAAUGCGCAGAUAUUAGGAGGAACACCAGUGGCGAAGGCGGCUAUCUGGACAGUAACUGACGCUGAGGCGCGAAAGCGUGGGGAGCAAACAGGAUUAGAUACCCUGGUA